GGCAUGAGCUGUGGGUUCUAGGGUUUCAACUCUAGGUUUUGUGAAAAGAAAAUACAAGAGUGAGUCUUGUCCAAUCUUCCACACCACCACCUCCUUGUAAAGCUUUAUCUUCUGAUCUAGAAGAGUCUGAGAGAUCUGAAGAAAGAAGCUUGGAUCAGCCAUCCAGAGCCUUCGACGCGAGCUAGCACUCCCACGAAGGAAGAUCCGAUCAGGGCUUCGAGUGGAUGAUCUGUAGAUGUCGGAUGAUCUGUGCAACUACUUGACAUCAGUGAGAGCUUCAUACUAUGCCUACUGAUAGUGAAGAUCAUUAA
rnacentral:lncRNA from 1 species